AUUUGUGCCCAACCGCUCGGCAUAAAGGAGAUUCGCUUUUCAAAUCCCUUGCAGACUACAACAUUCUAAGUGAGGUAAUAUACCGAGAAUAAUCCCAAAUUUGUAGUGAACAUCAAAUUGAUAAUUGUGAGGAUUUCUUGUUUUAUACUGUAUAUAAGUUCUUUCAGAAAGGCACGCCAGCCAACAAAGUGAACUAAAUUCUGACAAUACCUCCGGCCGUC
rnacentral:lncRNA from 1 species